GACGAACGCUGGCGGCGCGCCUAACACAUGCAAGUCGAACGAGGUCUUUUAGAAAAGCUUGCUUUUCUGGCUGACCUAGUGGCGGACGGGUGAGUAACACGUGAGCAACCUGCCCUGGAGUGGGGGAUAACACCUGGAAACGGGUGCUAAUACCGCAUAACAUCCCGAUAUGGCAUCAUAUUGGGAUCAAAGGAGUAAUCCGCUUUGGGAUGGGCUCGCGCCCGAUUAGAUAGUUGGUGGGGUAAUGGCCUACCAAGUCUGCGAUCGGUAGCCGGACUGAGAGGUUGAUCGGCCACAUUGGGACUGAGACACGGCCCAGACUCCUACGGGAGGCAGCAGUGGGGGAUAUUGCACAAUGGGGGAAACCCUGAUGCAGCGACGCCGCGUGAGUGAAGACGGCCUUCGGGUUGUAAAGCUCUGUUAUGGGGGACGAACACAAUGACGGUACCCCAUCAGAAAGCCACGGCUAACUACGUGCCAGCCGCCGCCGUAACAC
rnacentral:rRNA from 1 species